GAUGAACGCUGGCGGCGUGCCUAAUACAUGCAAGUCGAGCGAACAGACGAGGAGCUUGCUCCUCUGACGUUAGCGGCGGACGGGUGAGUAACACGUGGAUAACCUACCUAUAAGACUGGGAUAACUUCGGGAAACCGGAGCUAAUACCGGAUAAUAUAUUAAACCGCAUGGUUCAAUAGUGAAAGACGGUUUUGCUGUCACUUAUAGAUGGAUCCGCGCCGCAUUAGCUAGUUGGUAAGGUAACGGCUUACCAAGGCAACGAUGCGUAGCCGACCUGAGAGAGUGAUCGGCCACACUGGAACUGAGACACGGUCCAGAGUCCUACGGGAGGCAGCAGUAGGGAAUCUUCCGCAAUGGGCGAAAGCCUGACGGAGCAACGCCGCGUGAGUGAUGAAGGUCUUCGGAUCGUAAGACUCUGUUAUUAGGGAAGAACAAAUGUGUAAGUAACUAUGCACGUCUUGACGGUACCUAGUCAGAAAGCCACGGCUAACUACGUG
rnacentral:rRNA from 1 species